UACGGAGGGUGCGAGCGUUAAUCGGAAUUACUGGGCGUAAAGGGCGCGUAGGCGGUGUAUUAAGUUAGAUGUGAAACCCCUGGGCUUAACCUAGGAACUGCAUCUGAUACUGGUACGCUAGAGUGCGGUAGAGGAUAGUGGAAUUUCCGGUGUAGCGGUGAAAUGCGUAGAUAUCGGAAGGAACACCAGUGGCGAAGGCGGCUAUCUGGACUGACACUGACGCUGAGGCGCGAAAGCGUGGGGAUCAAACAGG
rnacentral:rRNA from 1 species